GUGGGCCGUAGCAGCUGCCGUUCACGCCUGUGUAUUACGGACGGACGUACACGGCUAUCGACGUUGGGAAGCCCCAUAAAGCACUACCAGGGUUCGGUUACGACUACCCUCUUGAGAUUUCUUCGUGCCACCGGCCUCUCGACAGCCCUAUAAGGCCCCCUUUGUGUACUGCGAUACUGUGUUAUUGGAUCAAGUUCGUUCGAACAUUCCAGUCAAGCGAGGUCCCGUUCUUCUAUACCAUGUGCUGUGACUGACACAACUUGUGGACAGACAAAGUAGGAGAGGGCAAGCUAUCUGGUGCAGAGGUAAAAAGGACGACAUUUCCUGAAACGGGGCUUAGUAUGAUU